rnacentral:rRNA from 1 species
UUAAAAAAUUAAUAAGUUUAUAUUUAAUAAAAAUAAUUUUAAUUUAAUAAAUAUUUUAAUGGGGGUUAAAGUAUUUUUUAAAGAAAAAAUUUUUAGGUUUAUAGUUUAUUAGUAUUGUGAAAGAAUUUUGAAAUAAUUGAAAAUAUAAUUUUAAUAAAGUAAUUUUUAUUUAAUGUAUCUUGUGUAUCAGAGUUUAUUUAAAAUUUUUAAUUUUUAAUUUCUCGAAUUUAAAAGAGUUAAAUAAUUAUUGAAGUUAUUGUAGCAAAAAUAUUUUAAAUAAUUAUUUUGAAAUGAAAUGUUAAUCGUUUUUAAAUAUAUCUAGUUUUUACAGAAAAAAUUUUAAUUUUAAAUUUAAUUUUAUUAUUGAUUAAUUAGUUAAUUAAAUAAUUAUUUAAAUUUUAUAUUUUAAGGGAUAAGCUUUAAAUUAAAUUUUUAUAAUAGAAAUAUUUAUUUUUGAAAAUUUUAUAAUUUAUAUUGUUAAUAAAUUUUAUUUUAUUAUAAAUAAUUUCAUAUUAAAUAAAAUUUAAAUUUUAUUUAAUUUUUUAUGUAAAUUUUAUUUAUAAUUAUAAAAAAUUAGUUAUAAUGAUAAAAUUAGUAUAUUUAUAAUUAUUAUUAUUUAAUUUAAUUAAUUAAAAGGAAUUCGGCAAAUAUUUAUUUUCACUUGUUUAUCAAAAACAUGUCUUUUUGUUUAUAUAAAGUCUAAUCUGCCCACUGAUAAUUGAAGGGCUGCAGUAUUUUGACUGUACAAAGGUAGCAUAAUCAUUAGUCUCUUAAUUGGUGACUUGUAUGAAAGAUUGGAUGAGAAAUAUACUGUCUCUUAAUUAAUAUGUAGAAUUUAAUUUUUUAUUUAAAAAGUUAAAAUAAGUUAAAAAGACGAGAAGACCCUAUAGAGUUUAAUAAGAAUAAUUUUAUAAAUUUAUUUAUUUUGUUGGGGUGAUAGAAAAAUAAAUUUAACUUUUUUUAAUAAAUUUAACAAAAAUAAAUGAUUAUUUGAUCCAAUUUAUUAUUGAUUAAAAGAUUAAAUUACCUUAGGGAUAACAGCGUAAUUUUUUUUUUUAGUUCAAAUAAUAAAAAAAGUUUGCGACCUCGAUGUUGGAUUAAGAUAAAAUUUAAAUGCAAAAGUUUAAAAUUUUUGAUCUGUUCGAUCAUUAAAAUCU